rnacentral:rRNA from 1 species
UGGGGAAUAUUGGACAAUGGGCGAAAGCCUGAUCCAGCCAUGCCGCGUGUGUGAAGAAGGUCUUCGGAUUGUAAAGCACUUUAAGUUGGGAGGAAGGGCAUUAACCUGAUACGUUAGUGUUUUGACGUUACCGACAGAAUAAGCACCGGCUAACUCUGUGCCAGCAGCCGCGGUAAUACAGAGGGUGCAAGCGUUAAUCGGAAUUACUGGGCGUAAAGCGCGCGUAGGUGGUUUGUUAAGUUGGAUGUGAAAGCCCCGGGCUCAACCUGGGAACUGCAUCCAAAACUGGCAAGCUAGAGUACGGUAGAGGGUGGUGGAAUUUCCUGUGUAGCGGUGAAAUGCGUAGAUAUAGGAAGGAACACCAGUGGCGAAGGCGACCACCUGGACUGAUACUGACACUGAGGUGCGAAAGCGUGGGGAGCAAACA